rnacentral:rRNA from 1 species
GUGAGGAAUAUUGGUCAAUGGGCGGGAGCCUGAACCAGCCAAGUCGCGUGAAGGAAGAAGGAUCUAUGGUUCGUAAACUUCUUUUGCAGGGGAAUAAAGUGCAGGACGUGUCCUGUUUUGUAUGUACCCUGAGAAUAAGGAUCGGCUAACUCCGUGCCAGCAGCCGCGGUAAUACGGAGGAUCCGAGCGUUAUCCGGAUUUAUUGGGUUUAAAUGGUGCGUAGGUGGUUUGAUAAGUCAGCGGUGAAAGUUUGCAGCUUAACUGUAAAAAUGCCGUUGAAACUGUCGGACUUGAGUGUAAAUGAGGUAGGCGGAAUGCGUGGUGUAGCGGUGAAAUGCAUAGAUAUCACGCAGAACUCCGAUUGCGAAGGCAGCUUACUAAGCUACAACUGACACUGAAGCACGAAAGCGUGGGGAUCAAACAGGAUUAGAUACCCUUGUAGUCC